UUAAUUUUAUAACGGGUGGUGUAUAUGUGGUCAUGAUACUUGAUAUACUUAUUGUGGUUUAGAUUAAGGUGGAUGUUAAUCUAAGCUAAUUCAAUAAGAGAGAAAAGAGAGAGAGAGAGAGAAAAGUUAUAUUCUAAAUUCUAUAAUAAUAAUAAUAGUGAUUCAACAAUGAUGAUGGUUGGUUGAAAUUAGCUUUAAGACAUUAAAUAAUAAUAACAAUCAGCUGACGAAAACCAUUUGGGAUAAAUUGACCCUCAGGAAAAUAAAACCAAUUCCACUGAUUGUGAUUAAUUAUCCACAACAAUUAACGUAAUUGCUGCCAUCUAAUGAUGAAGAAUCGUAUUGAAGAAACCAUAACAACAACAACAACAACAACAAAGAUUUGAAGGUAACCCAAAGGAAAAGCACAUUGAUUGUUGAUUGCGUUUUUCUUGCUAAUCAUCAUUAGUAAAUUGUGAUUAUGAGUAAGUAGAUGAUAGGAAAGGUAAGUUAAUUACCUGAGAUGAAU